UAAUUGAAGAGUUUGAUCAUGGCUCAGAUUGAACGCUGGCGGCAGGCCUAACACAUGCAAGUCGAACGGUAACAGGGAGCAGCUUGCUGCUCUGCUGACGAGUGGCGGACGGGUGAGUAAUGUCUGGGAAACUGCCUGAUGGAGGGGGAUAACUACUGGAAACGGUAGCUAAUACCGCAUAACGUCUACGGACCAAAGUGGGGGACCUUCGGGCCUCAUGCCAUCAGAUGUGCCCAGAUGGGAUUAGCUAGUAGGUGGGGUAACGGCUCACCUAGGCGACGAUCCCUAGCUGGUCUGAGAGGAUGACCAGCCACACUGGAACUGAGACACGGUCCAGACUCCUACGGGAGGCAGCAGUGGGGAAUAUUGCACAAUGGGCGCAAGCCUGAUGCAGCCAUGCCGCGUGUAUGAAGAAGGCCUUCGGGUUGUAAAGUACUUUCAGCGGGGAGGAAGGUG
rnacentral:rRNA from 1 species